rnacentral:rRNA from 1 species
UACGUAGGGUGCGAGCGUUAAUCGGAAUUACUGGGCGUAAAGCGUGCGCAGGCUGUUCUGUAAGUCAGAUGUGAAAUCCCAGGGCUCAACCCUGGAACUGCCUUUGAUACUGUCGAUCUGGAGUAUGGAAGAGGUGAGUGGAAUUCCGAGUGUAGAGGUGAAAUUCGUAGAUAUUCGCAAGAACACCAGUGGCGAAGGCGGCUCACUGGACCGGUAUUGACGCUGAGGUGCGAAAGCGUGGGGAGCAAACAGG